CAGCCGCCGCGGGAAUACGAACCGUGCGAACGUUAUUCGGAAUCACUGGGCUUAAAGCGCGUGUAGGUGGAUGGGAACGUCGGUCGUUGAAGUCCCCCGGCUUAACCGGGGAAGUGGCGCCGAUACGCCCCGUCUCGAGGAACGUAGGGGGAGCUGGAACUUCCGGUGGAGCGGUGAAAUGCGUUGAGAUCGGAAGGAACGCCCGUGGCGAAAGCGAGCUCCUGGACGUUUUCUGACACUGAGACGCGAAAGCCAGGGGAGCGAACGGGAUUAGAUACCCGUGUAGUCCCUGUCUCUUAUA
rnacentral:rRNA from 1 species